UGGCAUAGCCUAGUGGUUAGCGUGUAGGGCUACAGCGCAAACGACCAGCGUUCGAGUCUCUGGUCAG